rnacentral:rRNA from 1 species
GGGGAAUAUUGGGCAAUGGGGGAAACCCUGACCCAGCAACGCCGCGUGAGGGAAGAAGGCUUUCGGGUCGUAAACCUCUGUCCCAUGGGAAGAGCAGAAGACGGUACCAUGGGAGGAAGCCCCGGCUAACUACGUGCCAGCAGCCGCGGUAAUACGUAGGGGGCGAGCGUUGUCCGGAAUGACUGGGCGUAAAGGGCGCGUAGGUGGCCUUACAAGUCUGGAGUGAAAGUCCCGUUUUUAAGGUGGGAAUGGCUUUGGAAACUGUAAGGCUUGAGUGUGGGAGAGGAUAGCGGAAUUCCCGGUGUAGCGGUGAAAUGCGUAGAGAUCGGGAGGAACACCAGUGGCGAAGGCGGCUAUCUGGACCAAGACUGACACUGAAGCGCGAAAGCGUGGGUAGCAAACA